ensembl:lncRNA
GAGGUCUUCAACAGGGGGUCCGCGGAGUUCUUAGACGCUUGCAGAGCUUCGACCGAAUGCAGCACGAGGCGAAGUUUCUACGGGAACAGAGCGACAUGAACGGGUUGAUAGAACCACGACUACCGGCUCCAAUGCUCCUUGUCAUUUCAGCACGCCCCAAAGGUGACCCGCCACCACCCCUGACACCUCCAAUCUACAGCAGAACCUGGCAUAGCAGGAGGGUUAUGCAACUUGGGCUCUACCACCACCACCACCACCACCAGUGUCUGGACUCCCAAGGGGGGGAUAUGCCUCGUCUCGGCUCGAGAUCCCGGCCCCGGGUCUAUUCUGCGGCAGGAUGGAGUCCAAGCCCCAAACAACUUGCAAUAUCAU